rnacentral:rRNA from 1 species
AAUCAACGCUGGCGGCGCGCUUAACACAUGCAAGUCGAACGGGAAAGUGAGCAAUCAUGAGUACAGUGGCGUACGGGUGAGUAACACGUGGAUAAUCUACCUUUUAGUGGGGAAUAACUUUGGGAAACCGAAGCUAAUACCGCAUAAGCUCGAGAGAGGAAAGCCGUAAGGCGCUGAAAGAGGAGUCCGCGGCCGAUUAGCUAGUUGGCAGGGUAAAAGCCUACCAAGGCAGAGAUCGGUAGCCGGCCUGAGAGGGCACACGGCCACACUGGCACUGAAACACGGGCCAGACUCCUACGGGAGGCAGCAGUGGGGAAUCUUGCACAAUGGGGGCAACCCUGAUGCAGCGACGCCGCGUGAGCGAUGAAGCCCUUCGGGUGUAAAGCUCUUUCGUCAGGGAAGAUAGUGACGGUACCUGGAGAAGCAGCUGCGGCUAACUACGUGCC